rnacentral:misc_RNA from 1 species
GAUGAAGAACGCAGUGAAAUGCGAUAAGUAAUGUGAAUUGCAGAAUUCAGUGAAUCAUCGAAUCUUUGAACGCACAUUGCGCCCCUUGGUAUCCCGAGGGGCAUGCCUGUUCGAGCGUCAUUUCACCACUCAAGCCUGGCUUGGUGUUGGGCGACGUCCUCUUUGGGGACGCGCCUCGAAACGCUCGGCGGCGUGGCACCGGCUUUAAGCGUAGCAGAAUCUUUCGCUUUGGAAGUCGGGGCCCCGUCUGCCGGAAGACCUGCUCGCAAGGUUGACCUCGGAUCAGGCAGGGAUACCCGCUGAACUUAAGCAUAUCAAUAAGCGGAGGA